CGUAGGCUGCAACCCGCCUGCGUGAAGUUGGAAUUGCUAGUAAUCGCGGAUCAGCAUGCCGCGGUGAAUACGUUCCCGGGCCUUGUACACACCGCCCGUCACACCAUGGGAGCCGGUAAUGCCCGAAGUCAGUAGCCUAACCGCAAGGAGGGCGCUGCCGAAGGUAGGAUUGGCGACUGGGGUGAAGUCGUAACAAGGUAUC
rnacentral:rRNA from 1 species